CUAUUUGAAUAGACUGCACACAAAGCCUCUAUGCAAAGCUGCUAGCAGCUGCUCUCAGUAUAAAUAGCAGAAGCCAGCUCUCAUACAGCAGUCAGUGGAGACAUACACACCUGAUACAGCUGAAGACAAGCCUUCACACAAUGCGUUUACUGAGACAUGUGUUGCUGCUCUGCUUGGGUUUGCAAUAUGCAGGCUGUGCUGAUGUUAUAACCCAGUCCAGUCCUGAAGUCAGAAAGCCAGGAGAAUCUCUCAAGCUGUCUUGUAAAAUCUCUGGAUACUCUUUGACUGACAGCAGUAGCUGGUUUGCCACAGUCUGGAUUCGUCAGCCUGUCGGGAAAGCACUGGAAUGGCUGGCGUUUAUCGGCUAUGAUGCAGAUACAAGCUAUGCACAGUCAAUCCAGGGCCGGUUCACAGUCAGCAAGUCUGAUUCCAGCAGCACUGUGUUCUUACAGAUGAACAGCCUGAAGACUGAAGACACUGCCGUGUAUUACUGUGCUCAUGUCCGAUCUGACGUGGUCUUGACCCAGUGUGACCCAGCCAUGAAGAAGCCUGGAGAAUCUGUACAGUUGUCCUGUCGGAUCUCGGGGUUCACCUACGCUGGCAGCAGGAGCUACUAUAUGAACUGGAUGAGACAAGAGCCUGAGAAGAGUGUCCGAUCUGACGUGGUCUUGACCCAGUGUGACCCAGCCAUGAAGAAGCCUGGAGAAUCUGUCCAGUUGUCCUGUCGGAUCUCGGGGUUCACCUACGCUGGCUACGCUAUAUGA